rnacentral:lncRNA from 1 species
AAGGAGCAGAAUUACACAUGCCAUGUGCUCCAUGACGGGCUGCCUGAGCCCCUCACCCUGAGAUGGGGUAAGGAGGGUGUGGGUGCAGAGCUGGGGUCAGGGAAAGCUGGAGCCUUUUGCAGACCCUGACCUGCUCAGGGCUGAGAGCUGGGGUCAUGACCCUCACCUUCAUUUCCUGUACCUGUCCUUCCCAGAGCCUCCUCCAUCCACUGUCUCCAACAUGGCGACCGUUGCUGUUCUGGUUGUCCUUGGAGCUUGGCCAUCAUGGGAGCUGUGGUGGCUUUUGUGAUGAAGAGAAGGAGACACACAGGUAGGAAAGGGCAGAGUCUGAGUUUUCUCUCAGCCUCCUUUAGAGUGUGCUCUGCUCAUCAAUGGGAAACACAGUCACAACUGCAUUGCUACUGUCUGUAACUGGGUCUGCUCUCAGUUCUGGGAACUUCCUAGAGUCAAGAUCAUCCUUGAACUCUCACAGCUUUCCUUCUCACAGGUGGACAAGGAGGGGACUAUGCUCUGGCUCCAGAGAACAGCGCCUGAUGUUCCCUGUGAGCCUAUGGGCUCAAUGUGAAGAAUUGUGGAGCCCAGCCUUCCCCUACACACCAGGACCCUGUCUCUGCAUUGCCCUGUGUUCCCUUCCACCGCCAACCUUCCUGGUCUGCAGUGGAAACUAAGGGUUCUUUGGAAAGUCGGUUGGAUGGUGUUGUGAUGGGGCAAACACAUGAAGGAGUGUUUCCUUAAAGUGGAUACAGGUGUGAAAGUCUAAGGCCGACUCCUGAAGGAACAUUUCACUGAAGCAGACACAGGAGAGAGG